CCUGCAGGAAAGUGAAGCCUCCGUUUGACACUUGCACAAAUGAUGCACGGUUGCAACGCGCCGACCGCACUUCGAUGGAUGAAUGAAAAAAA